GACGAGCGCUGGCGGCGUGCUUAACACAUGCAAGUCGAACGGAAAGGCCCUGCUUGCAGGGUCCUCGAGUGGCGAACGGGUGAGUAACACGUGGGUGAUCUGCCCUGCACUUCGGGAUAAGCCUGGGAAACUGGGUCUAAUACCGGAUAGGAGCCAUUUUUAGUGUGAUGGUUGGAAAGUUUUUUCGGUGUAGGAUGAGCUCGCGGCCUAUCAGCUUGUUGGUGGGGUAAUGGCCUACCAAGGCGGCGACGGGUAGCCGGCCUGAGAGGGUGGACGGCCACAUUGGGACUGAGAUACGGCCCAGACUCCUACGGGAGGCAGCAGUGGGGAAUAUUGCACAAUGGGCGCAAGCCUGAUGCAGCGACGCCGCGUGGGGGAUGACGGCCUUCGGGUUGUAAACUCCUUUCGCUAGGGACGAAGCUUUUUGUGACGGUACCUAGAUAAGAAGCACCGGCUAACUACGUG
rnacentral:rRNA from 1 species